rnacentral:tRNA from 1 species
AGUGUUGUGGCUCAGUGGUAGAGCACUUGCCUAGCACAUGUGAGAUACUGGGUUUGAACCCCAGCAUCACAU